AUCUAUAGGCAGUGUGAAUCUCCGCCGAAGCUGCAACUAUGGGGAUCUUGGAGAAAAUUUCGGAGAUCGAGAAGGAGAUCGCUCGGACGCAGAAGAACAAGGCCACCGAGUACCACCUGGGCCUGCUGAAAGCAAAACUGGCCAAGUACCGGGCCCAGCUCCUGGAACCAUCCAAAUCAGCCUCGUCUAAAGGAGAGGGCUUUGAUGUUAUGAAGUCAGGUGAUGCCCGUGUGGCACUGAUUGGCUUUCCCUCUGUGGGUAAGUCCACUUUCUUGAGUCUGAUGACCUCUACAGCCAGUGAAGCUGCAUCCUAUGAGUUCACCACCCUGACUUGCAUCCCUGGGGUCAUUGAAUACAAAGGUGCCAACAUCCAGCUCUUGGACCUUCCUGGAAUCAUUGAAGGAGCUAAACAUAUUCCCCAGAAAGGGACUCUUGAGUUGACUGGUUCAUGAGCUCCUUCAGUAAGCAAUGUUGGGAUAGGCAAGGCUGGGGACCAGGGCUUUGCUGAGGACAUUCCCAGGAAGCUUGUACCUGUGGUAGGCUUACUCAGCAGCCUACAGCCAGUGUCCAUGUCCUGUGCCCCAUCCGGGCACCCAAGGAGCUAGUUACCCACAUCCUCCCAGCAGACCUAAGCUGACCCCAGCUCCGGUAGGGUCCCUGAAGCCAAGACUCCUGACAACAACUCUUAGCACAUAGUGGCCUCAGGAUGAAGCCUCCCACAGGUCCUCCCAACACAGGGCUGUCCCUUGUAGAAGCCAGGGCCCAGCCAAAGUGUACUAAAGUGCCUCCCCCUUGGAGCCCCUCCCAGAGCAGCCUCCUCCUGCUCCUGCCUGGGUGGGACCUCUGAGUCUGGCUCCAUUUCCUUCUAAGCUCCUAUGUCUGCCCUCCUUUCUGAAAUAAAAUUU
rnacentral:lncRNA from 1 species